AGCUCUUCUUUGCCUUUUGGCUUAGAUCAAGUGUAGUAUCUGUUCUUUUCAGUUUAAUCUCUGAAAGAUGCCUAUUGGCAUCAAUCUUGAUUAUUCCUAUUUUUGAUCACCGGAGAUGGCCUCUGCGGCUUGCCGUAUGUCGUCUCCAUCGUUUCCCUGGUAUUUCACUGCCUCCAGGCGAUGCAAAACCCCG
rnacentral:snRNA from 2 species